UGAAUUGAAUCCGUUCUAUUGGGAACUGGUUAAAUUUAAUAUGUUAUUUUAUAUUUGAAAAUGCAGAGGUGUGCGAUUUUAGAAACUUAUGCAAAACAUGGUAAGUUGAUGGAAAAUUGUGUGUAAUGCAUUCAUUGUGUUUGCGUGUGUAUAGACAGGACAUAUCAACAACUUGUAAAGAAACUCUGAAGAGGGUGGCGAUGGCUGAGUCCUGACAGGGAGCCCCUGGAAGAGGGGGAGAGCUGUGCUAGGAAUACUUUUGUAUCGAGCAGUGAUCUGUGCACAUAUAUUCACAAGACAGAGCCAGCCAAGUUCAGUGCUGUGUGUUGGAGAAUGGAAACUGUUCGGUACCAGAGUGGCUGGGUCAGACCACAUUUCUGCAGCUGGCUACAUUCAGGAACUUCUUACCUCCACCGGCCCAUUUGGAGGUAUGGUCCAACCCUUCAGAGGCUGAACAUUGUCGUGACUGUCCUUGCCUGCCAGCUGCUUUUUUGCCGCAGUCCAUCGAGCAGAGGCACGGGGCAAUCAGGGUGCAUUGACGUUGGACUGAACUGCAAUCCCAAGGCAGGAAUUUCUGUGUGUUUCUAACAUGGUGACUAGACUUAAUCCAUUGUGCGGAUGCUCAGAACUAUGUGAUGGGAUUGAACCUCCUUGAGGAAAAACCCUUCUUGGGAAUCUCCUGUGGUAGUGUGUAUCUGCAGAACCCCAGAUGUGUGACGAAGGAUGACAGGCAAUAACUAAGAAGCAUGUUAAAAAUAGCCAGUCAAUUUAACAUCAGCAUCAGAAUGCCAUUAUUGAUUGCGCUGAGCAAAUCCCCUCAACAUUUAAUUAAAGCAGUGGAAGAGAAGUGCUAAAAAAAGCAGAAAAGCCAAAAGCAAAAACAGAAUUAUAAGAAAAUCUUGUGAAUUUUUUUUUCUUUUUUACAGUCUUCAACAGCUUCAGACCUAAUAAUUACUCACUAGCCUGAAGCCCACUUUAUCUCGUGCUAUCACCUUUGUUACCAAGUAGCGUCUCAGAACACAAAAACCUUAAUUCUUGACAGGUUCCCCAGCUGCUAAAUUAUUGCCAGUUACUACUUGUAGAAAAGACCUUCUUUCUACGAGUAGAAUCGCUGCUCGCUGCUCUUUCUGUAAAGCUAGACUCCAAUCAGGAAAGGUUAAUAGCUUGUGAAGUGCCUCCAUUGAAGCUUUUCUUCUUUUGCAUG
ensembl:lncRNA